rnacentral:rRNA from 1 species
AUUGAACGCUGGCGGCAGGCCUAACACAUGCAAGUCGAGCGAGCGGCGGACGGGUGAGUAAUGUAUGGGAAACUGCCUGAUGGAGGGGGAUAACUACUGGAAACGGUAGCUAAUACCGCAUACCAUCGGAUGUGCCCAGAUGGGAUUAGCUCGUAGGUGGGGUAACGGCUCACCUAGGCGACGAUCCCUAGCUGGUCUGAGAGGAUGACCAGCCACACUGGAACUGAGACACGGCCCAGACUCCUACGGGAGGCAGCAGUGGGGAAUAUUGCACAAUGGGCGCAAGCCUGAUGCAGCCAUGCCGCGUGUGUGAAGAAGGCCUUAGGGUUGUAAAGCACUUUCAGGGGGGAGGCGUUACCCGCAGAAGAAGCACCGGCUAACUCCGUGCCAGCAGCCGCGGUAAUAC